rnacentral:rRNA from 1 species
AGUGAACGCUGGCGGUAGGCCUAACACAUGCAAGCCGAACGGCAGCACAGUAAGAGCUUGCUCUUACGGGUGGCGAGUGGCGGACGGGUGAGGAAUACAUCGGAAUCUACUUUUUCGUGGGGGAUAACGUAGGGAAACUUACGCUAAUACCGCAUACGACCUACGCGUGAAAGCAGGGGAUCUUCGGACCUUGCGCGAUUGAAUGAGCCGAUGUCGGAUUAGCUAGUUGGCGGGGUAAAGGCCCACCAAGGCGACGAUCCGUAGCUGGUCUGAGAGGAUGAUCAGCCACACUGGAACUGAGACACGGUCCAGACUCCUACGGGAGGCAGCAGUGGGGAAUAUUGGACAAUGGGCGCAAGCCUGAUCCAGCCAUACCGCGUGGGUGAAGAAGGCCUUCGGGUUGUAAAGCCCUUUUGUUGGGAAAGAAAAGCAGCAGGUUAAUACCCCGCUGUUCUGACGGUACCCAAAGAAUAAGCACCGGCUAACUUCGUG